rnacentral:lncRNA from 1 species
CACCAUUAACACCCAACUAAGCUUUCUCUCUCCUCGUUUUUCUUUCUCUCUCUAUACAAUACUCAAUUUUUCUUUCAUAUCUAGUAAGUUUUAGUCUUCUAAUCUAAGAGAUCUCACACAACAAAUGGCCCCAAGAUCAAGAUCAAGGAAGGAAAAAGGAAAAGAAGCUGCUUCAAGCUCUAACAAUAAAGAACAAGAUAUGUUGGCCAUGUAUGGAGCACCAUUUGAUAUCUGAAGCCAUGAAGAAUGUAAUAGAUUUUUGAGCUUAGCAAGUAAAGAACAAAUACCUUGUAGGUUCUUGGAUAUUCCUUGCUUAAUGAAAUUGGGUAUAUUUAAGAGAAUGAUAGAUUUAUUAGCUAAGUUAAGAUGGACAGAUUUUGCAUUUAAAGUUCUUCCAUCCUGUAGUGAGUUAAGUUUAGAAUUGUUUACUACAUUGCAAUAUAAUCCAUACAAUAUAAUCCAUACAAUGAUAAAGAAAUAAAAGUGAGAUUAUUUGGGCAUGAUUAUACUAUUACAUGUGCAACUAUAGUUCAAGCUUUUAAUUUAAAGAAAGGAGGAAUUUGUGAACAACACCGUAAGUUUGAUAUAGAUGAAUUUUGGAAGAAAUUGACGAGAGAGAAUUCCCAUGAUAUUAAUACUAUGCCAAAUACUAUUUUUAUUGAUCAUUACUACUUGCUAAUUUCAAAGUUUACGAGUGGUGAAAUAUUUGGAAGAAAAGAAACUAGUAAGGUGACCAAGCAAGAACUUAAUUUUCUAUAGUGUUUAGAUAAUAGCAAGUCAAUUAAUUUCAUUGGCUUAUUUUAUCAUGCAAAGUUUAUUGAAAGGUCUCGCUAGACCAAAGAGUUAUAUAGGCCUAGGAUACAUUGUCAUGGGUUUAGCUAUUCAUCUAUGUGGAUUUGAUCCGAAAAACUCACCAUAUAAGGAAAUUUUCUCUUUAGGGAAUUUUGAUAUAUAUGCAUUGGUUAUAUCAAAUUUGGUACAUAUCUGUGGUGGCC